rnacentral:rRNA from 1 species
CAGUCGAGCGGUAAGGCCCCUUCGGGGGUACACGAGCGGCGGACGGCUGAGUAACGCGUGGGAACAUGCCCCAAAGUGAGGAAUAACUGCCCGAAAGGGUAGCUAAUGCCGCAUAUGAUCUUCGGAUUAAAGGAUUUAUCCGCUUUGGGAGUGGCCUGCGUACGAUUAGGUAGUUGGUGAGGUAAUGGCUUACCAAGCCUACGAUCGUUAGCUGGUCUGAGAGGAUGACCAGCCAGACUGGAACUGAGACACGGUCCAGACUCCUACGGGAGGCAGCAGUGAGGAAUCUUCCACAAUGGGCGAAAGCCUGAUGGAGCAACGCCGCAUGCAGGAUGGAGGCCUUCGGGUCGUAAACUGCUUUUAUAAGUGAAGAAUAUGACGGUAACUUAUGAAUAAGCACCGGCUAACUACNUGCCAGCAGCCGCG